UUUUCUUUAUUUGAUGAUCCAUAGAGAGGUUAACUUCCAUUUUUACUGUCAUUAACCCCUUUACUGCAAUCAUGAUAAGCACAUGGUGAAUUCUGUAAUAAGGGUAUUCGUUGGAUGUUAUAAGCCCUCACAUCAAUGCUGAUGCUCGAUUUUUCUUUAUUCGAUGAUCCAGAGAGAGGUCAACUUCCAGUUUUACUGUCAUUAACCUUUAUUGCAAUCAUGAUAAGCACACGGU
rnacentral:lncRNA from 1 species